CUGUAAAGGUAUAUUUUGCUGUAGGGCAAUAUCCUCUUUUUAUCAAAGGGGAGUAUACUGAAGAG
rnacentral:ncRNA from 1 species